rnacentral:rRNA from 1 species
UACAUGGGGUGCAAACGUUGCUCGGAAUUAUUGGGCGUAAAGGGAGUGUAGGCGGCUAGGAAAGUCUUCUGUGAAAUCUACGGGCUCAGCCUGUAACGUGCAGAGGAAACUAUCUGGCUAGAGUGUCGGAGAGGAUAGGGGAAUACCCAGUGUAGAGGUGAAAUUCGUAGAGAUUGGGUGGAACACCAGUGGCGAAGGCGGCUCACUGGACUGGUAUUGACGCUGAGGUGCGAAAGCGUGGGGAGCAAACAGG